CCUUUAUUGAGGUGCCCACUGAAAACCAUAUCUCAAUGGCUGUAUCUCAGCUGAAUGGUGCAAUGUAUCGUGGAAGAAAGCUGAAUGUCGGAAAAAGUAUAAAACGUUCCCUUGAAAAAAAUAAGCAGGUCAAUCAUUUCUCCACAAAGAAACAGAAUGAGAAAGCAAGAUUUCAGUAUUGCUUCUUUUUCUAAUUAAAUGCCAG